CUUAUCAAACACCCAAAAUUCUGUUUCUGUUUCCAAGAACGAAAAUUUCUUGAAACAGAAACAGCAGAAACGUUAUCAAACGGCCCCAAGAUUUACGAGUUCUUAUUGUUUCGAUCGACAUCUAGGCAGCCGCAGGACUGCGCUCGAGGAGAAUUACCAUGGCCAAGAAUGUUGGCGAUUCGAAACUUCAAGAGCAGCCGAAGCUGAAGCUAUAUUCCUACUGGCGGAGCUCGUGCUCCUGGCGCGUACGCAUCGCCCUGAACUUAAAAGGGUUGAAGUAUGAGUACAAGGCAGUGAACCUGUUGAAAGGAGAGCAGUUCAGUUCAGAUUUUUCGAAGUUAAGUCCUCUUAAUUAUGUGCCAGUCCUGGUGGAUGAGGACAUAGUGAUUGCCGACUCUUUUGCCAUCUUAAUGUAUUUGGAAGAGAAAUAUCAUCAGAAUCCACUAUUGCCUCAGGAUCUUCAUAAAAGAGCUAUCAAUUUUCAGGCUGCAAAUAUUGUUUCCUCGAGUAUUCAGCCUCUUCAGAAUUUGUCUGUCCUUAAAUAUAUUGAAGAAAAAGUUAGUUCAGAUGAAAAGUUUGCUUGGGCUCAGCGUCAUAUUGGAAAAGGUUUUGCAGCACUUGAACAGUUGUUAAAAGGAUUUGCGGGAAGAUAUGCAACAGGGGAUGAAGUCUUCCUGGUUCUCUCUCUCUCAGACAUACUCAAUGUGAUUGGCAGAUUUGUUUCUGGCACCCCAGAUUCAUGGAGCUAUUACACGUUUUAAACUUGACAUGACUCAAUUCCCUCUUUUAUCCAAGCUCCACGAGGCAUAUGGUGAGCUACCUGCAUUCCAAGCUGCUAUGCCGGAAAAGCAGCCCGAUCGUGUGGAAGGAUAGAAGAUGGGAAAAAUCAAGGCAGCUGGUCAAAAGAGUGGAGCAUGUGCCAUUACUAGAAAGUCUCGUGCAUGCUAGGGAGAUGCAGUUGGAGAAUGUGACCAUCGUUUCUGAUUCCUACGAAGUGGUGGAGGCAGUCCGACUCAUUCUGCUUGGUUCUCGUGACUUCUGUUGGUCUCUUUUCUUUUUUUCUCUCUUUAUGUUUGUAAAUGAACUUAGUACAAGAGAGAUUUAAAACCUGCGCCGUUCAUCACUUGCUCAGGUCCAAGAGCCUCCCUAAAUUAGCUGACCUUGUUAGCAAAACAUGCAAUCAUGUAUUGGACACCCUCGCUAUCAACUUAACACUAAUCUAACUUUUACGGAAUUGAAUAAAAGAGGGAUUUUUAGUUA